rnacentral:rRNA from 1 species
AUUGAACGCUGGCGGCAUGCCUUACACAUGCAAGUCGAACGGUAACAGGUCUUCGGAUGCUGACGAGUGGCGAACGGGUGAGUAAUACAUCGGAACGUGCCCAGACGUGGGGGAUAACGAGGCGAAAGCUUUGCUAAUACCGCAUACGAUCUAAGGAUGAAAGCAGGGGACCGCAAGGCCUUGCGCGUUUGGAGCGGCCGAUGGCAGAUUAGGUAGUUGGUGGGAUAAAAGCUUACCAAGCCGACGAUCUGUAGCUGGUCUGAGAGGACGACCAGCCACACUGGAACUGAGACACGGCCCAGACUCCUACGGGAGGCAGCAGUGGGGAAUUUUGGACAAUGGGCGAAAGCCUGAUCCAGCAAUGCCGCGUGCAGGAUGAAGGCCUUCGGGUUGUAAACUGCUUUUGUACGGAACGAAAAGGCUCUGGCUAAUACCUGGGGCACAUGGCGGUACCGUAAGAAUAAGCACCGGCUAACUACGUG